ensembl:lncRNA LINC00293 long intergenic non-protein coding RNA 293
AGGUGAUGUGACUCUUCUGCCAGGGUCCUGCGUACUAGGUGGAUUGUGACAUCUCACUGGACCCGCAACCAUGUAGGUCAUGUGACUUUCAUGCCUUCUCACUGGCCACAGGUGAUGUUGUGCCAUAUAACUGAGACCGUAUCAAAAGCCUAAUAACAAGACGUAUGUCUGGAGCCCCGAUAUGCACAGGAUGGUGAGUCUUAUCGUUCAACUUUUCCACAAGUGUAAUUGUGACAUAUACCUCUGCCCAGCUCCUGAAUUAAUUAUUCUGCCUAGGUAUCGCCCACAAAUGAGAAUUUGACAAAUAACAGAGCCAAGCACCUUGAUGAUUUGACCGCGUUAUCUUAACAAUGUCCUCUGGAGGGAUUGUAACAUAUUUCUGGACCCAUUUUCUAGGUUACAUGACUCUCCCCUCCUGCCUGUGCCCUGAUUCCUUGGUAACUACAGCAUUUCUGAGCACUGCAUCCAAAUGAUAUGACUGUCUUGCCUGGGCCCUGUCAACAGGAGGCAUUGUGACAUAUUUUGGGGCCCAUCAUUUAGGGGAUAAGACUCUCCUCUCCUGCUUGGACACUGCCCACAAGGGACAUUGUGCCACAGCGCUGGACCUAGCACACAAGUUAUGUGACGUUUCUGACAGGUCUGCCUAAAAAGAGGAUUUUGGAAUAUUUCUGGCCCAGCAUUUAGGUGAUGUGGCUGUCCUGCCUGCUUCAUAACCACAGAGGGGAUUGUAACAUAUGCCUAGGCACAGCUCACAGGCAUGAUAAUGACUCUUAUAUAUGGAUUCAGCCAAUAGAGGAUAUUUUGACUUUUAUAACCAGAUUUACAUACAUGCAUGAUGUCUUGGAUCACAUUCCUGUACAAAGGUCACAAAAGAUUACAACACUCACACAUAUUUUACAAAGUCUUUCGGUAAUACAGACAGAGCCAAAGCAGGGCUCAGCACACACGUGAAAUUGUUAGUCAUGUAUCCAGACCCAGCUGACAGUAAGGAUUGUCAUCAUUUCACAUGGAUGAAGCCAACUGUGACACAUGAAAACAGAACAAGUGUGGUAUUGUGAAUCUCAUCUUUGGAAUUUUCUGACAGUACGAUUGUGAUACAAAUUUUUUCCAAGCAACUGUGUAAUUUGACCCUACAGAGUUUUUCCAGCACAUAUAUGGGAUUGUGAUGUCUACCUAGGCCAAUCUCAAGGUGAUGUGACUCUCCUGCCUGGGCCCUUCUCUCAGUGAUAUAACCCUCUUCUCUGGAAUGGGCCCCACACAAAGGAAGGAUAGUGACAUAUUGCAAGCCCAGGCACACAGGCCCAGAGCACAGUUGAAAUUGUGACAUAUGUACACCAAGCAACCAAGCAAUGUAUAACACCUCAUUUGGCAAUGGAAUCGAGGGCACUUUUACAUAUCACUGAGACCAGCGCCCAGCUGAUGUGAAAUAUUGGCCUGAACCCUGCCUACAAAAGCAUUGUGGCUUUUAUCUAGCUCCAUUACAUAAGUGAUGUGACUUCCUUCUACUGCCUUGGCCCUGCACUUAUGGUGAAUCGUGACACAAAAUUGGGUAGAGCAACCAGCCUGGGCCCUGACCAGCACAGAGAUUGAGGCAUAUUGCUGAACCCAGGACCAAGAUGAAGUCACUCUCCUGCCUUGAUCCUGCACACAGGGACCCUUGUGACAUAUAUACAGGCCAAUUGCCUAGGUGAUGUUGUGCAAUAUACCUGAGACCAGAUCAAUGGCCUAAUAAUGACUCUUUUACCUAGAGCCAGGACAUGUGCAGGAUGGUAACUCUCAUCCCUGAACCUUUCCACAGGUGUUAUUGUCACAUAUACCUUUUCCAGCUCCAAA